GCAGUAGUUCAGUGGUAGAGCAGCGGUCUCCAAAACCGCCUGUCGUGGGUUCAAAUCCUGCCUGCC
rnacentral:tRNA from 1 species